rnacentral:tRNA from 2 species
GCUGGGAUGGCGGAGCGGACAAUCGCACCAGACUGUAAAUCUGGCGGUCGAAAGGCCUACCUAGGUUCGAAUCCUAGUCCCAGCACCC